rnacentral:rRNA from 1 species
UACAGAGGGGGCAAGCGUUGUUCGGAAUUACUGGGCGUAAAGGGCGCGUAGGCGGCCUGUUAAGUCGAACGUGAAAUCCCCGGGCUCAACCCGGGAACUGCGUCCGAUACUGGCAGGCUUGAAUCCGGGAGAGGGAUGUGGAAUUCCAGGUGUAGCGGUGAAAUGCGUAGAUAUCAGGAGGAACACCAAUUGCGAAGGCAGCUCGCUGGGACGUUACUGACGCUGAGACGCGAAAGCGUGGGGAGCAAACAGG